UACGGGGGGGGCAAGCGUUGUUCGGAAUUACUGGGCGUAAAGGGCCAGUAGGCGGCCAACUAAGUCCGACGUGAAAUCCCAAGGCUUAACCUUGGAACUGCGUCGGAUACUGGAUGGCUUGAAUUCGGGAGAGGGAUGCAGAAUUCCAGGUGUAGCGGUGAAAUGCGUAGAUAUCAGGAGGAACACCAAUGGCGAAGGCAGCUCGCUGGGACGGUACUGACGCUGAGGCGCGAAAGCGUGGGGAGCGAACAGG
rnacentral:rRNA from 1 species